rnacentral:tRNA from 1 species
GCGGGGUGGAGCAGUCUGGUAGCUCGUCGGGCUCAUAACCCGAAGGUCGUUGGUUCAAA